UCAAAAGAGGCUGCAUUCAGGGGUUACAUUUGAAUUCUUAAGUUCGACCUCAUGGUUGUAGUAAUUCAACAAACAGCGAUGGGAGAAGACUUUGGGAUCAAAAUAAAGAAUUCAAGCAGUUUCUUUGUGGACAAUAUUGGACUCACAGGAACAGCCUUCUGUGCAGAAUUUGGGUAGCACUUUCAGUCUGGUUGAAGCUUUCAACUGAUUGGAUGAAAUCCACCCACAUUAUGGAUGGCCAUCUGCUUCACACCCAAGUUUAUGGAUUUAAAUGUAAAUCACAUUAAAACACCUUCACAAAAACAUCUAAAAAAAGAUGUUUGACCAAAUAUCUGAGUACUAUUUCCCAGAAAAAUCAAUACAUAAAAUUAAUCAUCACAAAGUCCUGAUAGGAGAAAAUGAUAUGCCUCAUAUGUUUCAUCAUGAUAAUUCCUAUGCCCUGCAUGGGAAAAUAAA